rnacentral:rRNA from 1 species
ACAAGCGUGGAGCAUGUGGUUUAAUUCGAAGCAACGCGAAGAACCUUUACCAGGUCCUGACAUCCCGAUGCUAUUUCUAGAGAUAGAAAGUUACUUCGGUACAUCGGUGACAGGUGGUGCAUGGUUGUCGUCAGCUCGUGUCGUGAGAUGUUGGGUUAAGUCCCGCAACGAGCGCAACCCCUAUUGUUAGUUGCCAUCAUUCAGUUUGGGCACUCUAGCGAGACUGCCGGUAAUAAACCGGAGGAAGUGGGAUGACGUCAAAUCAUCAUGCCCCUUAUGACCUGGGCUACACACGUGCUACAAUGGUUGGUACAACGAGUUGCGAGUCGGUGACGGCGAGCUAAUCUCUUAAAGCCAAUCUCAGUUCGGAUUGUAGGCUGCAACUCGCCUACAUGAAGUCGGAAUCGCUAGUAAUCGCGGAUCAGCACGCCGCGGUGAAUACGUUCCCGGGCCUU